rnacentral:ncRNA from 1 species
UGUCUAGUUAAAACAAAGCAAUGCGAUGGCCGCUGGUCGGGGUCGACGCAAUGUGAUUUCUGCCCAGUGCUCUGAAUGUCAACGUGAACGGAUUCAUCAACCGCGGGUAAACGGCGGGAGUAACUAUGACUCUCUUCUUGGGACGUUAUUCUGCUGGGUGUAAU